CAGUAGCUGCAGGCUAAAGCAUUACAGCACUCCCGCCUGGGGAGUACGACCGCAAGUUGAACUCCAGGAAUGACGGGGCCCGCACAAGCGGUGGAGCAUGUGGUUUAUUCAAGCAACGCGAAGAACCUUACCAGGUCUUGACAUCCUUUGACCACUCUAGAGAUAUAGCUUCCCCUUCGGGGGCAAAGUGACAGGUGGUGCAUGGUUGUCGUCAGCUCGUGUCGUGAGAUGUUGGGUUAAGUCCCGCAACGAGCGCAACCCUUAUUGUUAGUUGCCAUCAUUUAGUUGGGCACUCUAGCAAGACUGCCGGUGACAAACCGGAGGAAGGUGGGGAUGACGUCAAAUCAUCAUGCCCCUUAUGACCUGGGCUACACACGUGCUACAAUGGGAAGUACAACGAGUCGCAGAGUCGCGAGGCUAAGCUAAUCUCUUAAAGCUUCUCUCAGUUCCGAUUGUAGGCUGCAACUCGCCCACUGAAACCCGAAUCGCCAAUAAUUCCCGAACUGCACCCCCCCGCGAGAACCUUCCCCGGGCUCGUGCACACACCGCGUGACACCCCCCGAGUGUGUGUCACCCCACGAUCGGCGAUGAGGCCUCCUCGAGGAGUCAGCCUCCU
rnacentral:rRNA from 1 species